CCCUCCAGAAUUCCUUCGCCCAUCUCUGGUCUAUUGUUCUCUAUACUUGCACAUCCAGAAAAUCCAUCGACACUCUUGUUGCAGUACAGAUCUGGAAAGCAUUCCUAUCUAAAGUUUAGCUAGCAGCGACGAUGAAUCAUCUUCGAAACCUGGAGUUAACAGGAUUUUUCAUUAAUUUGGGGAUGGUUGAUAUAUCAUAAUGGUUCAUAAAAAAA